AUGGUGGUAACGGGUAACGGGGUGUUAGGGCACGACACCGGAGAGGGAGCCUGAGAAACGGCUACCACAUCCAAGGAAGGCAGCAGGCGCGCAAAUUACCCAAUCCCGACACGGGGAGGUAGUGACAAUAAAUAACAAUACAGGGUUCUUUUGGAUCUUGUAAUUGGAAUGAGUACAAUUUAAAUCUCUUAACGAGGAACAAUUGGAGGGCAAGUCUGGUGCCAGCAGCCGCGGUAAUUCCAGCUCCAAUAGCGUAUAUUAAAGUUGUUGCAGUUAAAAAGCUCGUAGUUGAAUUUCGGGAUCAAUGUUUCGGUCAUGCCGUUGGUAUGUACUGAUAUUAUUGGUUUCUCACCUUCUAAAGAACCGUAAUGCCAUUAAUUUGGUGUCACGGGGAAUUAGGACUGUUACCUUGAAAAAAUUAGAGUGUUUAAAGCAGGCUCACGCUUGAAUACAUUAGCAUGGAAUAAUGAAAUAGGACAUCCGAUUCUAUUUUGUUGGUUUCUAGGAUCGAUGUAAUGAUUAAUAGGGAUAGUUGGGGGCAUUAGUAUUCAAUUGUCAGAGGUGAAAUUCUUGGAUUUAUUGAAGACUAACUACUGCGAAAGCAUUUGCCAAGGAUGUUUUCAUUAAUCAAGAACGAAAGUUAGGGGAUCGAAGACGAUCAGAUACCGUCGUAGUCUUAACCAUAAACUAUGCCGA
rnacentral:rRNA from 1 species